UACAGAGGGUGCAAGCGUUGUUCGGAAUUAUUGGGCGUAAAGCGCGUGUAGGCGGCUUUGUAAGUCGGGUGUGAAAUCCCUCGGCCCAACUGAGGAACUGCGCCCGAGACUGCUUCUCUUGAGUCCCGGAGAGGAAGAUGGAAUUCCCGGUGUAGCGGUGAAAUGUGUAGAGAUCGGGAGGAACACCGGUGGCGAAGGCGGUCUUCUGGACGGUGACUGACGCUGAGGCGCGAAAGCGUGGGGAGCAAACGGG
rnacentral:rRNA from 1 species